UACGUAGGGGGCAAGCGUUGUCCGGAAUCAUUGGGCAUAAAGCGCGUGUAGGCGGUCCGGUAAGUCCGCUGUGAAAGUCGGGGGCUCAACCCUCGAAUGCCGGUGGAUACUGUCGGGCUAGAGUGCGGAAGAGGCGAGUGGAAUUCCUGGUGUAGCGGUGAAAUGCGCAGAUAUCAGGAGGAACACCAAUUGCGAAGGCAGCUCGCUGGGACGUUACUGACGCUGAGACGCGAAAGCGUGGGGAGCAAACAGG
rnacentral:rRNA from 1 species